ACCAUAGCUCAGUGGCAGAGCAUGUGCCUGACUUGACUUGCAGAAGGUCCCAGGUUCAAUCCCUGAUAUCUCUG
rnacentral:tRNA from 1 species